rnacentral:rRNA from 1 species
CCUACGGGAGGCAGCAGUGAGGAAUAUUGGUCAAUGGCCGAGAGUCUGAACCAGCCAAGUCGCGUGAGGGAAGACUGUCCUAUGGAUUGUAAACCUCUUUUGUAAGGGAGCAAAGUCACCCACGUGUGGGUGUUUGCAAGUACCUUAAGAAAAAGCAUCGGCUAACUCCGUGCCAGCAGCCGCGGUAAUACGGAGGAUCCGAGCGUUAUCCGGAUUUAUUGGGUUUAAAGGGGGCGCAGGGGGGUUUUUAAGUCAGCGGUAAAAUCGUGGGGCUCAACCCCAUACAGCCGUUGAUACUGGGGGUCUAGAGUGUGGGAGAGGUAGGCGGAAUGCGUGGUGUAGCGGUGAAAUGCAUAGAUAUCACGCAGAACCCCGAUUGCGAAGGCAGCAUACUGGU